rnacentral:rRNA from 1 species
GAUGAACGCUGGCGGCGUGCCCAAUACAUGCAAGUCGAACGAGGUCAGUCUUGUAGCAAUACGGGACUGGUCCUAGUGGCGAAUGGGUGAGUAACACGUAGGCGACCUGCCCCGGAGAGGGGGAUAACCCCGCGAAAGCGGGGCUAAUACCCCGUACGUUCCAGAGGGUUAGAGGCCUCUGGACGAAAGGAGCAAUCCGCUCUGGGGGGGGCCUGCGGCCCAUCAGCUUGUUGGUAGGGUAGCGGCCUACCAAGGCGACGACGGGUAGGGGGCCUGAGAGGGUGGUCCCCCACACUGGCACUGAAACACGGGCCAGACACCUACGGGUGGCAGCAGUAGGGAAUAUUGCACAAUGGGCGAAAGCCUGAUGCAGCAACGCCGCGUGCGCGAUGAAGGCCUUCGGGUUGUAAAGCGCUUUUCGGGGGGAUGAGGAAGGACAGUACCCCCGGAAUAAGUCUCGGCUAACUACGUGCCAGCCGCCGCAGUAACAC